rnacentral:lncRNA from 1 species
UGUACUGAUGAUGGGUGGAGAUCAAGGUUGAUGGCGAUGUGACGGUCGAACCGAACCACCGAAAUAACCGACCGGAUCGAACUAUAGCAAACGAAAGAAAUUAAAUUGAAACCCCUUCCAAAUUCCAAUUCAACAAACCUAGGCCUUGUUUAGUUCACUCCAAAAACCUAAAACUUUUCAAGAUUUCCCGCCAUAUCGAAUCUUGCGGCAUAUGCAUGGAGCACUAAAUAUAGACGAAAACAAAAACUAUUUACACUGUUUGUCUGUAAA